rnacentral:rRNA from 1 species
UUCCGGUUGAUCCUGCCGGAGGCUACCGCUAUUGGAGUUCGAUUAAGCCAUGCGAGUCGCGAGUCUUAGGGACUCGGCGUACCGCUCAGUAACACGUGGGUAACCUGCCCUAUGCUGGGGGAUAACCUCGGGAAACUGAGAAUAAUACCCCAUAGUUCACCACGCCUGGAACGGUGGGUGGAUCAAAGCUCCGGCGGCAUAGGAUGGGCCUGCGGCGUAUCAGGUUGUAGGGGGUGUAAUGUACCCUCUAGCCCUCUACGCGUACGGGUGUUGAGAGACAUCGCCCGGAGAUGGAUUCUGAGACACGAAUCCAGACCCUACGGGGUGCAGCAGGCGCGAAAACUUGGCAAUGCGAGAAAUCGUGACCAGGGAACUCCAAGUGCAUCGGGUAAGACCGAUGCUUUUCUUGACUCUUCAAAGGUCUUGGAAUAAGGGGUGGGUAAGGACGGUGCCAGCCGCCGCGGUAAUACCGGCGCCCCAAGUGGUAGUCGCUUUUAUUGGGCCUAAAACGUCCGUAGCCGGUCUGGUACAUUCGUGGGUAAAUCAACCAGCUCAACUGGUUGAAUUCUGCGAGCACGGCCAGACUUGGGACCGGGAGAGGUGUGGGGUACUCUCAGGGUAGGGGUAAAAUCCUGUCAUCCUGAGAGGACCACCUGUUGCGAAGGCGCCACACUAGAACGGAUCCGACGGUCAGGGACGAAGCCUAGGGGCACGAACCGGAUUAGAUACCCGGGUAGUCCUAGGUGUAAACGCUGUGGACUUGAUGUUGGGGGCGCUCCGAGCGCACUCAGUGUCGAAGCGAAGGUGAUAAGUCCACUGCCUGGGGAGUACGGUCGCAAGGCUGAAACUUAAAGGAAUUGGCGGGGGAGCACCGCAACCUGAGGAUUGUGCGGUUUAAUUGGAUUCAACGCCGG